CUUUCUCGGCCUUUUGGCUAAGAUCAAGUGUAGUAUCUGUUCUUAUCAGUUUAAUAUCUGAUACGUGGGCCAUCGGCCCACAUGAUAUUAAAUUUAUGUUUUUAAGGGGAGAGCCCUCUUACGGUAGCUUGCUGCUGGGGCUCUUACGCGUCGCCUUGGCGCUGCACUACAGCUAAGGCCCGGCGCACCCUUCCAGUAUGUAGUUUUAGUUGUAUUAACCAAGUUUCGAACCUUGUUGGACUGGCUUGUUUCCUUUAAAAGGUACAAAUUCUUGUAUGCCUUGAAACUAUUAUUUUACUCAUCAAAAUUUGAGCUUGAAAGUGUGGUAUUGAGAGAUUUUUACUCUGGAGAGAACAAUUCAUAUCUGUAGAUGAACAAGAUGAACACGACUCGCUUUGGGCUUUGGACUUGCUGGGCUUCUCUAAAAGGUCUUUAAUUGAGGUUGUUGAUGCUACUUUGGAUCGUUGUCACUACAAAUUGUUGCCGGAUCUCACUUAGUAAG